UGCGAGUCAUAUGUUCUUCGUGAACAUGGCGUACUGCUCAGUAACACGUGGAUAACCUGCCCUUGGGACCGGGAUAACCCCGGGAAACUGGGGAUAAUACCGGAUAACGCAUAUCUGCUGGAAUGCUUUAUACGUAAAAUGGAUUUGUCUGCCCAAGGAUGGGUCUGCGGCCUAUCAGGUAGUAGUGGGUGUAAUGUACCUACUAGCCUACGACGGGUACGGGUUGUGAGAGCAAGAGCCCGGAGAUGGAUUCUGAGACAUGAAUCCAGGCCCUACGGGGCGCAGCAGGCGCGAAAACUUUACAAUGCGGGAAACCGUGAUAAGGGGACACCGAGUGCCAGCAUCAUAUGUUGGCUGUCCAGAUGUGUAAAAUACAUCUGUUAGCAAGGGCCGGGCAAGACCGGUGCCAGCCGCCGCGGUAACACCGGCGGCCCGAGUGGUGAUCGUGAUUAUUGGGUCUAAAGGGUCCGUAGCCGGUUUGGUCAGUCCUCCGGGAAAUCUGACGGCUCAACCGUUAGGCUUUCGGUGGAUACUGCCAGACUUGGAACCGGGAGAGGUAAGAGGUACUACAGGGGUAGGAGUGAAAUCUUGUAAUCCCUGUGAGACCACCUGUGGCGAA
rnacentral:rRNA from 1 species